GCAGAAUCAACCUGAAAAGUCAGGCUUGGGGACCACCCCCUUCUCCUGCUGUAAGCGCCUGGAUUCUGCACCCCAGGUGCCCUGAAGGGAUUUCUUCCCUGUGUGUCCCUGGGUCCUCUUCUGAUAAGGACACCAGUCAUUGGACUUAAGGCCUAUGCUAAUCCAGUCUGGCCUCAUCUCAAAUUGAUGAACAUCUGCACACACCCUAUUUCCAAGAAAGAUCCUAUUCACAGGCACCAGGGGUGCCUUCAAUGCAUCUUUUUGGGGGAACAUAAUUCAACCCACAGCAUCUUCUGUGUUGUUCUGCCCAAGGACAGCCACCCCCUAGCAGCUGCGGUGAGAAGAUUCCCCCAGGUUUGGGGUUUCCAACCUUGGGCGGCAGCAGGCUGGGAGCCAGGGACCACUUGAGCCUUACUGUGCUCUCCUGCUAGGAGGGGUGGCAGCUCCUUGCCCCUGGAGACAGCGUGGCUCCCCAGAGCAGCUGAGUGUCUUGCAGUCAUCAACAGCCACCUCAUCUCAGAGGCAGCACCUGGAAUCUUACCUGCCUUACCUCCUUUAGUCCUCAAAACACCUGUGUCUCAGGAUUAUGUCCCUUAUUCUACAGAGGAGGAAGCUGAAGUGCAAACUAAGAGGGAGUUCCGCAGCAGCAGGUUGGGGUGCCGGGUGCCAGCCUGGCGAGGAGCUCGGUGCUCUUGCGAGGACCGUGACCGGGCUUUCACCGCA
rnacentral:lncRNA from 1 species